rnacentral:rRNA from 1 species
GACGAACGCUGGCGGCGUGCUUAACACAUGCAAGUCGAACGGAAAGGCCCCAGCUUGCUGGGGUACUCGAGUGGCGAACGGGUGAGUAACACGUGGGUGAUCUGCCCUGCACUCUGGGAUAAGCCUGGGAAACUGGGUCUAAUACCGGAUAGGACCGUGCUUUAGUGUGUGCGGUGGAAAGUUUUUCGGUGCAGGAUGAGCCCGCGGCCUAUCAGCUUGUUGGUGGGGUAAUGGCCUACCAAGGCGGCGACGGGUAGCCGGCCUGAGAGGGUGUACGGCCACAUUGGGACUGAGACACGGCACAGACUCCUACGGGAGGCAGCAGUGGGGAAUAUUGCACAAUGGGCGCAAGCCUGAUGCAGAGACGCCGCGUGGGGGAUGACGGCCUUCGGGUUGUAAACCCCUUUCGGCAGGGACGAAGCUUUUGUGACGGUACCUGCAUAAGAAGCACCGGCUAACUACGUG